CAUCAAUUCCUAUACCUCUGAAGAUGCGGUAGGAUGGAAUGAGGCUACUUGAAGAAAACGAGCACCAAGAUGUCAAUGUUUGACAGAGCCAGGAAAAAUAGGCCAUUUUUAAAGUCUUUACUCCAUUCUCGUUACACGACAACGAGCAAAGAGGGGCAGCUGUAAUAGGCCUAUUUUGAUCAGGCCCAAAGCAUACCCAAUUUUAUAAAUAAAAAUAAAAACAAAAAUAAUUAAAAGUCCAUCAGUCCAUAUUACAAGCCUAAAAUCAUACAUACCAAAUACACCCCAGCCCAAUCGCCUUACAAGCCCAAACCA
rnacentral:lncRNA from 1 species